UCAGAUGCCAGGGACUCCAGACAGCUGCUGCUGAUUUCCUGUAUACUCUUAUGUUCAUAUAUACAACACACGAGCACAUAUAAUUAUUCUAAAAUCAAAGGGAAUCGGGCACACAGCCUGCUUGCACACAACAGAAGUGACAAAUGUGUGGGACAGGAAAGCUACUUCCAACCUGUGUGACCCCAGAAGUGAAGACCAGCCCAUCCUCACCCACACCACAGCCCACUGAGUAAACCCCAGUGUCAUCACACCCAGAUCAAGCAAGUUGAGACUUUCCGACUUCACAUAAAGAGGAUGGAAGUCCCUGUUCAACCGAAAUCACUUUCAGAAAAUGGAAAUUCAGAAAACAGAAUUUCAGUCAUCAUCAGCUCUUCACAUUAAGGGUUUGAAGUCUCAGAGGGAGCAAAUGAAGUAGAAUUUUAAAAGGAAAUAAAGACAGAAAAAUGGAAACUGAUGAUUUUUUCCAUGAAUGAAAUCCAUGUCACUUGGAAGAUUGAAGGAAUCCUAGGAUUAACUGAGGUCUCCGAUUAUUUUAGAGAAAAGUUGCCUCAAACGCCUUUCUAGGGUUUGUCUUUGUGGGUAUGAUGGGUAAUUGGGAUUUUGGGGUGACACUCAGUUUUUAUUACUGAUUGGCUACCUGCAAUCUUUAAUUCUUACUGAAGCUAUACAUAGCUUCAUUGUAGC